CCUACGGGGGGCUGCAGUGAGGAAUAUUGGUCAAUGGUCGGGAGACUGAACCAGCCAAGCCGCGUGAGGGAUGAAGGUACAGAGUAUCGUAAACCUCUUUUGUCAGGGAACAAAGGCGGGGACGUGUCCCCGGAGGAGUGUACCUGAAGAAAAAGCAUCGGCUAACUCCGUGCCAGCAGCCGCGGUAAUACGGAGGAUGCGAGCGUUAUCCGGAUUUAUUGGGUUUAAAGGGUGCGUAGGCGGCCUGUUAAGUCAGCGGUCAAAGCCCGGGGCCAAACCCCGGCCCGCCGUUGAAACUGGCAGUCUCGAGUUGGAGAGAAGUAUGCGGAAUGCGCGGUGUAGCGGUGAAAUGCAUAGAUAUCGCGCAGAACUCCGAUUGCGAAGGCAGCAUGCCGGCUCCACACUGACGCUGAGGCACGAAAGCGUGGGUAUCGAACAGGAUUAGAUACCCGUGUAGUC
rnacentral:rRNA from 1 species